rnacentral:snoRNA from 1 species
GCAUUUUACUUCGCUCGUCCCACUUUACCCGUGAGUGUGCUUGACGAUGAACGGCGAAGGGAGA